AACGAACGCUGGCGGCAUGCCUAACACAUGCCAGUCGAACGAGACCUUCGAGUCUAGUGGCGCACGGGUGCGUAACGCGUGGGAACCUGCCCUUAGGUUCGGAAUAACUCCCCGAAAGGGGUGCUAAUACCGGAUAAUGUCUUCGGACCAAAGAUUUAUCGCCUUUGGAUGGGCCCGCGUUGGAUUAGCUAGUUGGUAGGGUAAAAGCCUACCAAGGCGACGAUCCAUAGCUGGUCUGAGAGGAUGAUCAGCCACACUGGGACUGAGACACGGCCCAGACUCCUACGGGAGGCAGCAGUGGGGAAUAUUGGACAAUGGGCGAAAGCCUGAUCCAGCAAUGCCGCGUGAGUGAUGAAGGCCUUAGGGUUGUAAAGCUCUUUUACCCGGGAUGAUAAUGACAGUACCGGGAGAAUAAGCUCCGGCUAACUCCGUG
rnacentral:rRNA from 1 species